CAUUUCUUAGACUCUUCCAGUUAAAUGGGGGGACGAGAAAAGCACCUGCUUGGAUUAAGAAAACAACAACAACAACAAAAACAGAGGAAGAGUAAUUUUUUGAUUCACCUUUGGCCCUGCAGUAGAACUGGUGUUGUGGAAGAACAAUUGCAAAAUGUCAAAUCUUCACUUAGUAAAAGACUGAUGAGUGUACAAGAUUUUAGUUCUGAGCAUGCACAACACCACAUCAAAGGGCAUGGAUAUUAAUACUACAUAGACAUCUACAGGUUCAUCCUACUACCAUGCUGAGGACUGGGUAGCAGUUUGCAUUUUCUAGAUAUGGAUGAAACACUAUCUCCCUUCCCAUGGUUUAUCUUGAUAAAAUUAAAAUAUAUGCAAAAAUUGCAAUUUAAGUGUACAGUUUAGUGGAAUUAAGUAUGUUUACAUUAUUGUACAACCACUAGUACUAGUCAUCUCCAGAACUUUCUUGUCUUCUCAAACUGAAACCCUGUACCCUAUCUAAUCCCUCAUCCUUCCUCCCCAGACCAUGGCAACCACCAUUCUAUUUCUGUCUCUAUGAUUCAUAUGAGUGGAAUCGUAUAGUAUUUGUCCUUUUGUGACUGGUUUAUUUCACUUAGCAUAAUGACUUUCAAGAUUCCCACAUAAUAGUCUUACAAUGGGGCUAACAUUUCUCCCCCUGAUAGGAGUGGGAGUCUAUGUUCCCUGAACCUGGGUAGUCUUAUAACUGUGGCAUAAUUGACAUUAUGACACUUUAAAAACUAAUAAAAGGCAAUGCAAAUUCUAGUUUUCUUGGAAU
rnacentral:lncRNA from 1 species